UGGGUAUGUGGGGCAAUCGCUUGCUGCAGACAUUGUUUGCACGUGAGAGGAAAGUCUGGACUCCAAACAAGAGAGGUGUCUCACGAGAACAUGGUUUCAAGUGAGGGGGGCGUAAGUUCACGGAAAGUGCCACAGAAAAUAAACCGCCUUUGAGGUAGCUUGAGGGUAAGGGUGAAACAGUGCGGUAAGAGCGCACACUUGAAUGCAGUAAUGUAUUCUCGAGGCAAACCCCACCUGGAGCAAGACAGAGCAGCAAAUGACAAGUUUCUUGUUCUUACAUAUUUGCGGGUACGUCGCUUAGAUAGAUGGUUGCCACUUUGAUCACAGUUCGCUGUGUAAAAAGUACAGAAUCCAGCUUACAAGCAAACCCAGAAG
rnacentral:RNase_P_RNA from 1 species